rnacentral:rRNA from 1 species
CCUACGGGAGGCAGCAGUGGGGAAUAUUGGGCAAUGGAGGAAACUCUGACCCAGCGACGCCGCGUGCGGGAUGAAGGCCUUCGGGUUGUAAACCGCUUUCAGUAGGGAAGAAGCGAAAGUGACGGUACCUACAGAAGAAGCACCGGCUAACUAUGUGCCAGCAGCCGCGGUAAUACAUAGGGUGCAAGCGUUGUCCGGAAUUAUUGGGCGUAAAGAGCUCGUAGGUGGUUCGUCACGUCGGAUGUGAAAAUCUGGGGCUCAACCCCAGACCUGCAUUCGAUACGGGCGAUCUAGAGUGUGGUAGGGGAGACUGGAAUUCCUGGCGUAGCGGUGGAAUGCGCAGAUAUCAGGAGGAACACCAAUGGCGAAGGCAGGUCUCUGGGCCAUUACUGACACUGAGGAGCGAAAGCGUGGGGAGCGAACAGGAUUAGAUACCCUGGUAGUCCACGCCGUAAACGGUGGGCACUAGUUGUGGGAACCUUCCACGGUUUCUGCGACGCNGCUACGCAUAAGUAGCCCGCCGUCGGGAGGUACGAGCGCGAGAAGUUAAACUACUAAGUAGUAGUUAGACGGUCGUUGAGACGUUGCCGACGGCGACGACGAGGGAGGAGG